UACGGAGGAUGCGAGCGUUAUCCGGAUUUAUUGGGUUUAAAGGGUGCGUAGGCGGGCUUUUAAGCCAGCGGUAAAAAUUCGGGGCUCAACCCCGUCCGGCCGUUGAAACUGGGGAUCUUGAGUGGGCGAGAAGUAUGCGGAAUGCGUGGUGUAGCGGUGAAAUGCAUAGAUAUCACGCAGAACUCCGAUUGCGAAGGCAGCAUACCGGCGCCCGACUGACGCUGAGGCACGAAAGCGUGGGGAUCGAACAGG
rnacentral:rRNA from 1 species